AAGACUAUACUUUCUGGAAUUAUCUCUGUACUAUCAAACAAGAGAUGUACUCAAAAACAUUUGGUCAAGUGAACUGUGAGUAGCGAACCUUUUCUGAGCUGGAAGCGAGUGGGCAGCGUUGCAUUCAUGUAGCUGUUGCUUGCUAUUUUUCGACCCUUAUUCUUUCUUUCUCUAAGAGGGUUGGAGGAAGAGGACAUAGACAGAGCGGC